GAAUCAUGGCAAUGGAUAUCUCGAUUCUCGCGUCGAUGAAGAACGUAGUGAAAUGUGAUACUUGAUAUGAAUUGCAUAAUCCCGUGAACCAUCGAGUCUUUUAACGCAAGUUGCGCCCGAAGCCAUUUGGGGUGAGGGUACAUAUGCAUGAGCGUCA